UGAUUCUUAAAGAAUUAAGAACCUUUCUUGAUCCUUCAACUAAUCAGAAAGAACAACAACUAAAAAUUGGUUGUAACUAAUUCUCAACAAACUUGAGAGCAAAGAAAACAAAAAUCAAACAAGUGGCACCAAUAAUUGACCCACUUCUUUGAUGUGUCGCCCACCCUCUUUUUGGCUCCAAGGGAGGACGUCGAGAGAGAGAAAAGGCAUGGGCUAG
rnacentral:lncRNA from 1 species